AUUGAACGCUGGCGGCAGGCCUAACACAUGCAAGUCGAGCGGAUGAAGGGAGCUUGCUCCUGGAUUCAGAGGCGGACGGGUGAGUAAUGCCUAGGAAUCUGCUUGGUAGCGGGGGAUAACGUCCGGAAACGGGCGCUACUACCGCAUACGUCCUGAGGGAGAAAGAGGGUGUUCUUCGGACCUCACGCUAUCAGAUGAGCCUAGGGGGGCUUGGCUAGUUGGUGGGGUAAAGGCCUACAACGGCGGCGAUCCGUAACUGGUCUGAGAGGAUGAUUAGUCACACUGGAACUGAGACACGAUCCAGAGGCCUACGGGAGGCAGCAGUGGGGAAUGUUGGACAAAGGGGGGAAGCCUGAUCCAGCCAUGCCGCGUGUGUGAAGAAGGUCUUCGGAUUGUAAAGCGCUUUAAGUUGGGAGGAAGGGCAGUAAGUUAAUACCUUGCUGUUUUGACGGUACCUACAGAAUAAGCACCGGCUAACUUCGUG
rnacentral:rRNA from 1 species